rnacentral:rRNA from 1 species
AUUGAACGCUGGCGGCAGGCCUAACACAUGCAAGUCGAGCGAGCGGCGGACGGGUGAGUAAUGUAUGGGGAUCUGCCCGAUAGAGGGGGAUAACACUUGGAAACAGGUGCUAAUACCGCAUACUGAUGGAUGGACCCGGGGUGCAUUAGCUAGUAGGGGGGGUAAAGGCUCACCUAGGCGACGAUCUCUAGCUGGUCUGAGAGGAUGAUCAGCCACACUGUGACUGAGACACGGACCAGACUCCUACGGGAGGCAGCAGUGGGGAAUAUUGCACAAUGGGGGCAAGCCUGAUGCAGCCAUGCCGCGUGUAUGAAGAAGGCCUUAGGGUUGUAAAGUACUUUCAGCGGGGAGGCGUUACCCGCAGAAGAAGCACCGGCUAACUCCGUGCCAGCAGCCGCGGUAAUAC